CUACUACGAAAUUAAAGCACUACUAGAAAAUUGAUCAUUUGGAAUGGAUUUUUGGGACGAAAUGAAUUUUGUCUAAAGUAAAAUUGCACUUUCAGACAGAUUUUGGACAAAUUUCAAAUUUGUCUGACGAAACGCACAUUGUUGAUUAUUUUAUAAUUUUUUCACGAUUUCCGUCCCAAAUCUGUGUGAAAUAUUGGGACGGCUUUGGGACGGGUCCAUAAUUUUGUGCAUUGUUACCAUUUCUAACCAGUUCCGUCCGAAAUUCGUGUGAAAUGUUGAGAUAGAUUUGAGACGGAUCUAUUAUAAAAAUUAAAAUGUACUCCAUCAUAACCCUAAUUACUUUUCUGUGUAUAUACCUUCCGCCGUUUCAUUUUUUGCCUUCACUUUUGCUUGACUUCUUCUCUGUAACACAUGCCUCUGUUUGAGAUGGUGCUUCGAGCGUGACGUGUUGGUGACAAAGAACCGAAACCCUUCUAGUUCAAUUUCGCCCAUGUCCCUCAAGAAGAUACCUCUCCCGUCGUUACUUUCUCCCAUCGAGAAAACAUAGAGCCACUAUCAAGAUAGAUUCACUUGUUGUUACAUCUCUUCAACUUGUGUUGAGUUGGAUCUGAUCUAAUUCCCCCAAAUAUGGAACCCUAAUUCAGUAAUUUGUAUUUAACCAAAUCUUUGGCUCACAUGAUACAACAGUAUAUCUCUGAUUUGUUUUAUUUCAAUUGCAGAAAUGAAACUAAAAAGUUAAAAGUUUGCUUUCAGUGUGGCAGACGUUCCUGGGUGUGAUUAAUGCAGAUGCUUCUUUAAGUUUGAUGUAUUUUAUAGGGUGGUAUCUGGUCUUGGUUUUGAGCAUGAUAGUAGUGUUGUUUUCAAUUGGCAAAUGCAAGUUAUGUAGGCUGGUUUUGAGCAUGCUAUAGUAGUGUUCUUGAGGAUCUUGAAAUACUUCAAUUGAUACAUAAUAGAUAUUAUGGCUUUGUUUAAAUAUCACUGUCUUUAAUUAAGUUUGAUGUAUGUUUAGGGAAGAAUGAUGCAUGCUUUGAUUAUAAUAGAAUGAUGUAUUUUAUUGAUGUAUUUUUAAGCUCAGAUUAUCAUGAUAACAUUUUAAAUUAAUUAGAAGAUUACCAGCUAAUUAUUUGCUAUAGUGGCAUCUUAAAUUACUUAUGCAGGCAGCAUGGUUUGAGAGUUGAGACAUAUAUCCUUCUCUAAUCUCUUUGUUGUUUCCCCUGUUUUCAUUGAACUUUUCAUUCUAUUAAUAUUUGAUAAGAAAUUUCUUUUGGACUUGUUUAAGUUAGCAUUUACUAAUGUCUUUUUGAAAUGGUUUCAGAGUGUUGUAUAAACAAGUAUAACUAGAAGAAUAUGAAAGAGUUGCUUCUCUACUUGAUGAGGAGAGGAAGAGUAUGCUACUUCUAGUUGAUGAGAAGGUCAAGCCUAUGUUGUUUCAAGUUGGCAAAUGGAUAUGCAAAUUGAAGCAUGACAAUGUGCAAAGGCUACUUGAACAAGUUUUGAUGCGGAUGAGAAACAAGUUUUAUUGGGACCCUUGCAUUUUAUCAUAUGUAAAUGUAUUUUAGUGACAAUAUUUGUAGAGUUCAUUAUUUACUUGAGCUGAAAAUAGUUGUACAUUGACGUGAUUUUGUAACAUUUGAAUGAAAUAAUUUAUGUGUCUUGGUUUAUUUCAAAAUGCAA